rnacentral:lncRNA from 1 species
CGUGCAUACAUGGUGUGCGAUAGUCCAAGACCACCAUAUUCCUCUGGAAUCUGCAUGCCAAACAGACCCAGCUCCCUCAGUCCUUUCAAAGUUUCAGGUGGGAUUUUUGCAUCUUGAUCAAUCUUCUUGGAGUCCACUUCUUCAGCGAAGAAUUUCUCUAUAGGUCCUACAAACUGGUUGAUCUCCUGUAGCUCUUCAUUGCUAAUUUCUGGGUAAGGGAAAACUUCUUCCUUGCGCAGCGCCCCCAGGAAGAGCUCCUUGGCGUACGCGGGCCGCGGCGCGGCGGUUCGCAGGCGGCGGACGGCGGCGGGGCCGGGCAGCGCGGCGCGCAGGGCGCGCACCAGCAGCCCGCUCAUGGCGACACGGACGGCCGCGGCGCGCGGCGCUGACGGCACGGCG